rnacentral:rRNA from 1 species
UAAACCUGGUUGAUCCUGCCAGUAGUCAUACGCUCGUCUCAAAGAUUAAGCCAUGCAUGUCUAAGUAUAAAUCUUUUACUUUGAAACUGCGAACGGCUCAUUAUAUCAGUUAUAGUUUAUUUGAUAGUCCCUUACUACUUGGAUAACCGUAGUAAUUCUAGAGCUAAUACAUGCGUCAAUACCCUUCUGGGGGU